rnacentral:rRNA from 1 species
GACGAACGCUGGCGGCGUGCCUAAUACAUGCAAGUAGAACGCUGAAGAGAGGAGCUUGCUCUUCUUGGAUGAGUUGCGAACGGGUGAGUAACGCGUAGGUAACCUGCCUUGUAGCGGGGGAUAACUAUUGGAAACGAUAGCUAAUACCGCAUAACAAUGGAUGACACAUGUCAUUUAUUUGAAAGGGGCAAUUGCUCCACUACAAGAUGGACCUGCGUUGUAUUAGCUAGUAGGUGAGGUAACGGCUCACCUAGGCGACGAUACAUAGCCGACCUGAGAGGGUGAUCGGCCACACUGGGACUGAGACACGGCCCAGACUCCUACGGGAGGCAGCAGUAGGGAAUCUUCGGCAAUGGGGGCAACCCUGACCGAGCAACGCCGCGUGAGUGAAGAAGGUUUUCGGAUCGUAAAGCUCUGUUGUAAGUCAAGAACGAGUGUGAGAGUGGAAAGUUCACACUGUGACGGUAGCUUACCAGAAAGGGACGGCUAACUACG